CAGAAGUCGAGAAAAAUGAGGAAUGAAGUCUAGAGCUGUGUGAUACCCCAGUGUCUUAAAACUCUUCUACCUGUCCUGCCCUAAGGCAGUAUUUGGGUGUUUCUGCAGAGUUUUGCACAGAGUCUGUUCCCAUGCAAACCAAUGAGGGAGAAGUGUCGGAAGAAAGCAGUUCCAAGGUGGAACAGGAGGAUUCUGUAAUGGAAGGGCAUGGCAAGACUCCACCUCCUGGUGAAGAAAGCAAACAAGAGAAGGAGA